AGGGAAGAUAAUGGACGGNNACCUAAACGAAUAAGCAUCGGCUAACUCCGUGCCAGCAGCCGCGGUAAGACGGAGGAUGCAAGCGUNAUCCGGAAUUAUNGGGCGUAAAGCGUACGUAGGCGGUUUUAUAAGUCUGUNGUCAAAGCCCGAGGNUUANCCUUGGAAAGGCAAUGGAAACNGUAAGACUAAAGAGAGAUAGGGGCAGGAGGAAUUCCAGGUGUAGCGGUGAAAUGCGUAGAUAUCUGGAAGAACACCAGUGGCGAAAGNGUCCUGCUGGAUCUCAACUGACGCUGAAGUACGAANGCUAGGGGAGCGAAUGGGAUUAGAUACCC
rnacentral:rRNA from 1 species